UAUUACCCAAUUAAACAAAAUAAAAAGACAUCAUCUACAAAACCCAGGAAUCACACAAACUGCAAGCAAAGCAAGUCGCGAGUUACAGCUACAGAGCACCAAAGGAAACAACAAUUACAUUGAAAUGCACAAUCCUGCGGCUUGGACUCUUCUCCAUCUCUAUGCAGCCGAUGGAACAUGAACUCCGUUCGCAACCUUGUGAUUCUUUGGCGGCUUCGCCGCCACCCCCUCCACAGCGCCGCCACGGAACUUCUGUACAUCCGCCACGGCAGCCUGCUUGAACAGCCCUAUAUCCACCCCUCCCGCCACAAAAUUAUACCCCCUCUCCCUCAUCGCCUGCGGCGAAUGCUGCGCAGUCGAAAUCCCGCCAAGGUAAGGCCCAGCCCGACCCUUCUGCAUUGCCAGCACCCGCUUCUCAGCCCCCAGCAGCACCUCCUUCACCCUCGCAUUCGCUGGAUCGCGCAAAUACCCCAUGCUGGCCCCAAGAUCCCUCGGCCCCAUCUGAAUGGCGUCGACUCCGUCAACUCCGGCAAUCCCCUCAAUAUUGUCGACUCCAGUCUCGGUCUCCACCAUGCACAUGAUCAACAACUCCUCCUCGCACCUCUCAACGUAACUUUCAUCUGUUCCGUACCCAGAAGCCCUUACCAUGACAUGGGCCGUCCCGCGGAUGCCGCGGGGCGGGUAGCGGCAGUAGCUGACAACCUGCGCCGCCAUGGCGGCAUUCUCAACCAUGGGGAACAUGAUACCCUGGGGUCCAAGGUCGAGCGCCUUCUUUGUCCAGGCAGCAGAUUUUUCGGGGACGCGGAUGACGGCAGGGGUGCCGGCAGCAGCGAGUGCGCGGACACAGGAGAGGGCAUCAGCAAUACCGCCAGGGCCGUGCUCCAUGUCGACCACUACAAAGUCAUAGCCAGAGAGGCCGAGAAUCUCUGCGAUGGUCGGGGAGGCGCUCAUUAGGAAGAGCCCGUAGAGGGUCUCGCCGGCGGCUACCCGUGUUUUCAGAAGCUUUUUCUUGCUGUCAGUGGCAGGGGUGUAGGCGGCGGGGUCUGGGGUGAGGAGAAACGGAGGUGGGACAUCGACGGGAGAGGUGAUGAUGGUUGUAGAUUUUGGGUCGGCUUUGAUGUAAUGGUUGUCGGCUGUGGCUGUGGCAGAGGGGAUAUUGUCGGAUUUGAGGAAGUGGGUUUCGGGGUGGCGGUCCUUGGAGAAGAAGUGAGGGGUAAGAGUUCCGUUGGAGGGAGUGGAGGAGUCUGAGGAGGCCAUGGCGAUUGCUCUCUCCGGCGAGCAGCGGCUGGUGGUGGUGGAUAUGGGCG
rnacentral:misc_RNA from 1 species